GUUAUUGACGACAGAUCGAAAUGCCAGGAAAGACAAUUGUAUCUAUAUGUGCAAAACACAGAGAAUAAGCAUAAUCAAUGAAGAAAAAAAGAAAUUUUGCUGAAACUUUUUCAGCAAUAGGAGGGAAGCACCAGGCAGAGAACUGGAAAUGGGCUUUACCUCAGGGCACCUAUGGCUUCGUUUGAAAUUUUUACAGACAGCUCUAAUCAUAUAUGAACUAUAGGUGUACAUGUCAUUUGCAUUACCUCACGUCUGACGCCACUGCAGCCGAAGAUCUUGCAUCGGUCUGUCUCCUCGGACUGUGCUUUCAAAAGAAAGCAUCCAAACUUUUUUUUCUUGUCCUGUGUUCCUGUUCUAAACCAAGUGACGCUUGCUGCCUGUUGUUCAAUGUUAGCCGAAGGCAUUUAGCCAAAAACAUCGUACUCAAUACCGAAACUUGGCGAGAAAAGAAUGUUUUCUCUGCUGCACACUGCUCAAUAAAUGGUUGAAUGUAGACAGGGAUCAUUACAAACAUACCUGCCAACACCUGAAUUUUUUGUAAAAGUUUGCGAAUUUGGACUCAUUUUACUAUUUUAAGAACUUGCAUCAGGUUUUAGAGAAAUUAAUUCUGUUAUCAAUAAUGGCUUAAAGGCGUUGACAGAUGGUGCAAGAUUGCCAGAAAUAUGUACGCAUAAGAAAUAGUGAUGGUACCUGCGCUGCCUUUUUGUGCCAGAGGGGUGCUUGCUUCAGAGAAGUUCCCAAAGUAUGCCAGAUUGGCUACAGCAAAGUUGCUUAGAAAGCUAUCGGGAUCUAAAAGAUGUGUUGCUUGUAAAAUUCUGCUGUUCCAAGUUUAAUUCUACCUGUGUGCUGCGUCUAUAGGUAAACCACCACUAAUAAAGUGCAUAUGUAUCCUACAAAAGGUGUGUGCUCAUUCCAGGAGGAAAAAAUAUGUGCAUUCCCCUCGUUCCCACUCCCUUGCUUGUCAUGUCUGUGGUAUUUUUAUGAAUUUUAAAGUGCAUGGUUUGGCAGGUAUGAUACAAAUGACGUAAAAUAUUCCUCUGUGACAGAGUGUAGGAAGCUACACAAUUCAUACUGCAGGAUUUGUGCCUUUUAGUUCUUUUUUGUGCAUAUAACCUGCACCCCUUUUUGCAGCAUCCUUUGGAAGAGGAAAGAAAGGAAGAAGUUGAUGUAUAUAGCUUGCGCAAUUAACAAUAAUAAAGAAAGCGGUGCUCAAAUCAUUACAUAUAAGACUUUGCCCAAUUAUUGGCACAAAGGAAAUGUCCAGAAUCAGUAUUGGUUUUCAUGUUCAGUUGACACUGCUUUUACUGCUUCUCAGUGUAAUGUGGCUUGCAUGGCAGUAAGCUGUGCGUUGCAUCGAAUUUGCAGUUAUAACCUUCUACUUCUUUAUCUUCAUGAAUUCUUGGUGCGGGUAAUGUGCAUGAAAAUGCGUCAUUUUGUGGAUAACUGGCUGAUACACCAAGUUCUUUAGAAGCUGAUGCUUACAUGCGUGUGUUAUCAUUGCUCUCCUAGCAAACAUUUUUACAAGCGUCCCCUGGCUCUCUUUUCUAUGUGUGUUUCUGUUUCUGAACAGAGAAUGCUACUACCAAUUUUCCUGCAUGCUGGCAUAGUAAUUCUUUCUGCAAGCCAUUACAGGCUAAUGUGCCAUGAUGUAGUGAACCAUAUUUUACAGGCACAUAUUAGUGUUUGUGUAAAAACAUGUUUUUAGUCAUAGCCUUUGAUAGUUGUUUGAUGUAAAAUCUACUUUUUUUAGUCAUUGUGUUAAGAAGUCUUAGCGUACAAGUUACAAGUGCUUUCCUUUAGUGUUUGGAGCAGCAAUGCUGAGUAUUAAGCGUACUAUGCUGCUUGCUGUCUUCUUGGGUUGUUGUGAAAAAGAAAAAAGAAAAAGCUGCAGCAUGCAAAGAUGCCAGAUGUAGUGUGUUGUAUGACUUUUGUUCUUUAAAGGGCCCCUCAACAGUGCAGCUAUACAAAGAAUGGUUCAAGAUGUUGCUAGUACCGUCUGCUUGAAAUGCGACGUUCAUGUUAUUGUGAUGAUGUGCUGAAAGGGAGGUUUUAUUGAGGUUUUUAAGGUGUCUUGCAUCUUUUGUGCACGUGACUUAUGAGCAAACGGUACUGUUGUUGAGAGCAUGAUUCAUUGUUCACUGUUAGGACGUCUGUCAAAAAAUAUAUAUAUUUUCUAAAUCUGCA
rnacentral:lncRNA from 1 species